AUUGAACGCUGGCGGCAUGCCUUACACAUGCAAGUCGAACGGCAGCGGGGACUUCGGUCCGCCGGCGAGUGGCGAACGGGUGAGUAAUGUAUCGGAACGUACCAUUGAGUGGGGGAUAACGUAGCGAAAGUUACGCUAAUACCGCAUAUUCUCUCCGGAGGAAAGCAGGGGACCGCAAGGCCUUGCGCUCUUUGAGCGGCCGAUAUCAGAUUAGCUAGUUGGUGAGGUAAAAGCUCACCAAGGCGACGAGCUGUAGCGGGUCUGAGAGGAUGAUCCGCCACACUGGAACUCAGACACGGUCCAGACUCCUACGGGAGUCAGCAGUGGGGAAUUUUGGACAAUGGGGGCAACCCUGAUCCAGCCAUGCCGCGUGAGUGAAGAAGGCCUUCGGGUUGUAAAGCUCUUUCGGCCGGGAAAAAAUCGCAUGGGUUAAUACCCUGUGUGGAUGAUGGUACCGGAAUAAGAAGCACCGGCUAACUACGUGCCAGCAGCCGCGGUAA
rnacentral:rRNA from 1 species